UGUCCCCCACCCCCACCCCAUCCCCCAGGGGUGCUGUGACUCCCUCUUGCAGGGUGGGCACCAUCCGGAUCGGCUCAGGGUGGCUGCAGCAUGCUUUUCCUCAAGGUUUCCCUCUCCCCCCUCUGGCAGGUCCCGAUUUGGACAAUAAAUGGCCUGGUCCCUCUCCCUAUUGGAAACCUGCCGUGAGUGGUGGUGUGUGGCCGACGGGACAAGGCCCCUCUGAGAAGAUGUGCCCACUGGGGCCAGUGUGGGCACCACCGUCACUGCAGCCCCGUCACACCGCAGCCAGGUGUCGCGCUGCAGGGAGCUCCAGGCCUCUUCCCGUGGACAUCUUCACCACAGAUUGGAUGAAGCUGCAGGAAGUGAGUCUCCGUCAUCCUCAGCUGGUGUGAGUAAGACGCGGCCAAACAAAUACUGAAGAGCUGACUCAGGACGUGGAAGCCUGCAACUCACCGGCCCUGACUCAGAGAGAGCAGGGAGAAACUGGAGGGCACCGCCGUCAGGACACGGCCCCAUGUGGCACUGGUGGGAGCACACGGAACCGUGCGGGUGUCGUGUGAUGAAGCCGACACUGCAGCCCGAGGACGUGCUGUGGACCGGAGGCCUCACAGGUAACAUAUUCACAUGGAUAGGUGAUCAGAGUGACAGGAGAGGUCUGCCCAAGCGGCCUCCCUCCCGCCCGAGCCUGUCCGCCUGGUGGCCCUCUGGGCAGCCGCUGUUACUGGAUCCUCCUUGGUCCCUCUUUCUGGGAAGACAGCAGAUGUGAGUCCAUGUUUCCCCGCCCCACAACGCACAGCAUCUCUGUGUACAGUGUGCUGUGUGCUCUGCCCUGCACCUUGCUUUUUAAACCUUUUCCACUGUCGGGGAGACCUCACAUGUCCAUCCCGGAGGUGGCCUUCCUUCGGCGGAAGCCCCACGAACGUCCCCAACGAUGUGCAGGCUGCCCGGGCCCAGCUCCCGAUGGCUGGACUGGGGUGGUCUGCCGUCUCCUCCCUCUGAAAAUGGCCACCCUUGUGGAGUUUGCACGCUGGUGGGCGAGAAAGAGGACUCGGGCUGUAACUUGCACUUCUCUCGUUUUCGGUAAGUGGCAGCGCCCCUGUGCUUGCAGCUGUUUUUCUUUUCUGGGGACCUGACGGUUCAGAUCAUUGCCCUUUAUUCUGUUGGACUCGGUCUUUUUCUUCUGGAUUUGUUUCUGGAAGCUCUUUUGUGUUUCAGUUGCAAAUGUUAUUUUCCAGUUUGCCUUCUGCCAUUGCAUAUGACUCCCCCCCUCCCACCCCUGCAAAGUGACGCUAAACAAAUAAUAAUGGCUCUCACCCUCCUUCUGUAACCGACCGAUGGACGGUGCCUCCAGCAUGCUGCGGUAAGAUAACUUUGUCGUGUUAGAAGCAUUCUUCUCUCCCAGCUUACAGGGAGAGUUCAGCGGGAAUGAAUGUUGAAUCAGUCUUGUCGGUUAUGGAGAUCACGUCUUUUCUCCUUGGCCUGGCAGGUGACAUGAUCGAAGACCUAUUAUUAAAGCAUUCUUACAGUUGUAGAUUAAAUCCAACUCGAUCGGGUCGAUUGUUCUUUUCACUCACUGGUUGGUUCUGUUAUGAGUGCCUCACUCCGCUGCGUGUCGCCUGGCGGUGGGGGUGGGGCACCCUCUGUUACUUGGUUAAGCCCAGCCUUCUGUGGGCACCUGUCCCCGGCAUUGCCGCCUCCCCUCCCUUGGCUGCGGCUCUGGGCCCAGCACCUCCCCGCAGUGCCCUGAGGCUGACAGUGCUUGUGGCUGCCCCGCCACCCCACCCCAGGGUGGCUUUUGUCCCCUGGGGACUUAGGGGAGAAGGUUCCAGAAGGAGCUGUGCUCCCUCUCCCAGGUCCCCACCACAAGGACGCUUCUGUUGAAAUGUUCCAUGGAGGCACAGUUAAGUCCAGAAAUGGUUUUCCUCCUGUGUUUAGGUAGCUCGCUACUAGCAUUUUCCGGUUAAAGGAACACCCCACCUGGGCUGAGUCCUGACAGUGAAACCGUGUGCGGGCCUUGGGCCUGAGGAGAGUCAGGACUGCGACAUGAAGACACAGGUUCGCCUCAGCCUGCUGGCCACUAGUGGGGACUCGAGCCUCUGGGUGGUGGCACUCAGAGACCCCCUCCAGGGGUUUGUGGUUUCAGAGCCAGGCAUGGGGCCCCACAGGGCUCAUGGCCCCGACUGCUCUGGGAAGUGUUGGUUUUGUUUUCAUAAGGCACAUAAAACCCUUUGACUUGGGCAGGGAGAAGCCAGCGCCACCCUUACAAACUCCGGGCUUCCCCAGGAAGCGGCCCACCCUGCCCGACGGUCAGAUGGGGCCAGGUGGGCGCAGGUCUCUCUGAGCCUGGGUGUCAUCCUGGUCCCAAGCCACAGUGGCUGGAGGAGUGGGGUGCAGGCAAAGAUGGGUGCCGGUCCCCUAGAACAAGAGGCUGAGAAAGUGAAGGACACCCUGACACAGUACAGGACUCCAGCAAGGAUGGCAUUGUCCCUGUGUCCAAUUCUGAGGGACCCUCAGCUGCCCCUGCCAUGGAGAGGAGGGGUACCCAGGAGGAUGGGGGAGGCCCGUGCUGGGGACCCCGCAGAGCUGAGGCGGGGCCAGCCCAGAUGACACCUCCAUGGGCGAGAGCGCAGGAAGGGGCAGACCUCGGGGCACAGGCUGACCUUCUCCCCCAAAUUGGUCUAUAAAUUGAACAGUGUAAAAAAUAUCCAAAUGAGAGUACUGAAGAAAUUUAAGCUAAGAUACUAUAAAGCUAUACUAAUUAAAGCAAAGUGGUACUGUUAUAAAAAAAUGUAAAUUAAUCAAUGAAGCAGCCCCCAACCAGAUACAUAAAUGUGGGAAUUUAGUUCCUGAUAAGUGCGGUAUUUCAAAGCAGAAAUGUUUGAGAUUGUUGUCCAAAUAAAUAUUACUGGAACAUAUGGUUACCCCUAAGGCAAAAAUACAACAUGUAAAAGUAACUUCCCAAAAUUAAAGAGUUUAAAAAUAUGAGAAUACUAGAAGGAAAUAACUGGAGGGAGCACAUUUCGUAUUUAUAAUGUUUAUAUUAUGAUACGCUUUAUAUGUUUCUGUGAUGUAGCAUAGUCGUGCAUUGUGAGAGGCAGUGUGAGUAUAGGAAUAGAGCAGACAGGAGCAUAGGAAGAGCGCCAACUGCAUUUUAGGGUGAGGAAGAGCUUCCUAAAAAGGCAUGCUAUUCAGAAGCCAUAGAUGAAAACAAGUAACACUUGGCUCUAUAAAAAUAUCAGUUUCUAGGUAGCCAACCAAAAGAUAAAAAUGACACACAGGGAGAAAUAUUUGCAACAUCUCUAAUAAAGAGUUAUGCAUACUAGACAAAGGCUUUUGUUUUUUUUUGUUGUUUUU